GACUAGUGACAGAGAGAGGGAGGGGGUGACUAGUGACAGAGUGAGGGAGGUUGUGAUUAGUGACAGAGGGAAGGAUGAGGUGACUAGUGACAGUCACCACCUCCUUCACUCUGUCACUAGUCACCCCCUUCCUCACUCUGUCAUUGUGUCA